GAAAGAAAACCAAAGAGCCGGUGCCUAAAGAAGGAGUUUUAGAACCACUAAACACCCCAUACGUGGCCUCUUCUUAUUGGUCGUCUCUCUCUCUCUUCCUCGAUCUCGCGUCAUUGUUCUCCUUCUCCAAAUCCUUCCAUGAUUGAAACUGAAAUCACCUCGAUGGUUUCUUCGUGUCUGAGUUUUUGUAUUGAUUUGAACCUUGUAAAUCACAUCUCUGCACUUCCUCCAUGAAUCACACCUCUCGCCUAAUCAAUCGGAUCCCACCUCGGCGUCUUCUUCCACGGCCAGAGAGGAAGGGCAUCGUCGAGAUGAGAGCAGGAAACCAAGAGCUGAGUUUCAGGAAGAUCAGGCUCGUGUCCUCGCCGCGUCUCUUCGUGCCGAGGUUAGGUUGGACGGAGGAAGCGAUGAUUGCAGGCUCUAGAUACUUGGUGUGUCUCCUUCCAUUGUUGGGUCUUUCGCUGCUAUUGUUGAGUGCCUUUAACAACAGAUUCGCUAGCAAAGAACUUCAAGUAGCAAGACUGACAUCGUGUGGGUUUGUUGAGAAGACUUCUGUAGGAUUUAUACCUCACACUUCAGAAGGGACAUAUAGUCCAAAACAUUGAACGGUCACUGGAUUGAGCUGUAGUGGAAGUCUCUGAUGCUUCUUUCUCUCUGUAAAGCUUGUUCAUGAUGGCGAUAUCAAUCAAAGAAGCAAAUAACUUCCUUCUCUUUGGAUUCUGCAAGAACAUUUUAUGGCAAUCAGAUAAGGAUCUGCAUAUAUAUAUAUUCUUUGAAUUGGAUUGGAUACAUUGCUAUGUGUUUGAAGAAAAAUAACAUAAGUUUAAAGUUUGAUAUCAUCGUUUCAUGUUGGGCAGAGAGUAUCGUGAUACAUGAACGUUCUUGGAUGACAGAGUCAAAGAUGCUUUUGAUCUGAAGAAGAGCAUACAAGAGGCCAAGUAUAUAAAAGGAGCAAAUGUUUCAGGGAUUGAAUCAGUAUUCAUCACAGGAGGGAUUCAUGGCAGUGAGCUUGAUCUCUAUAUAUAAUUUAUUUCUUUCAUUCAUAUCUCAAAAUAGAGUAAUAGAGGAACAGAGUCUGAAGAACACAUACAUAGCACUUGCAACAGCCAAACAUAAUGUCGCGCACUGAUAAAGGUUAAAUGACAGAGGAAUGAAGAGAGUGGCAAGGUUUGUAAGGAGAGAACCUGCGAUCUCGUUCAAAUCCAUUCCUAAAAGCAGGGCAGAGAAGAAGACAAUAGAAUCUGAAAUUACUUGAAGCUUUGAAAAUCCAGCAGAUGAUGCUGAAGGAAGGGCCACCUGCAACGUUAAAGCUUCACUUGCAAGGGUUGAGACCACAUAUAGUACCCUAGAAGAGCUUUGAGAGUCAUGGGCUUCAUCCAUACCAUGGAUACACCAUCCAAAACCUCCAUUUUUAGAAGCAUCAGUCCCUGAAACCAUAGAAACCAAACCACAACAAAACAAACAUCAUUUGUAAACAAUAUGUAUUGCCUUAUAGAGAGUAGACUUUUUUAUUUCAAUGAGCAAAUUAUAAAAUACUUAUUUAUAACUAAUUGUGUACUUAAAGCAUUUAUUAGAAUUUUAAUAUUUAUUAUUAUAUA